GAUGAACGCUGGCGGCGUGCCUAAUACAUGCAAGUCGAGCGAACAGACGAGGAGCUUGCUCCUCUGACGUUAGCGGCGGACGGGUGAGUAACACGUGGAUAACCUACCUAUAAGACUGGGAUAACUUCGGGAAACCGGAGCUAAUACCGGAUAAUAUAUUGAACCGCAUGGUUCAAUAGUGAAAGACGGUUUUGCUGUCACUUAUAGAUGGAUCCGCGCCGCAUUAGCUAGUUGGUAAGGUAACGGCUUACCAAGGCAACGAUGCGUAGCCGACCUGAGAGGGUGAUCGGCCACACUGGAACUGAGACACGGUCCAGACUCCUACGGGAGGCAGCAGUAGGGAAUCUUCCGCAAUGGGCGAAAGCCUUGCGGAGCAACGCCGCGUGAGUGAUGAAGGUCUUCGGAUCGUAAAACUCUGUUAUUAGGGAAGAACAAAUGUGUAAGUAACUAUGCACGUCUUGACGGUACCUAAUCAGAAAGCCACGGCUAACUACGUG
rnacentral:rRNA from 1 species